rnacentral:rRNA from 1 species
GACGAACGCUGGCGGCGUGCUUAACACAUGCAAGUCGAACGGUAACGGGUCCUUCGGGAUGCCGACGAGUGGCGAACGGGUGAGUAAUAUAUCGGAACGUGCCCAGUAGUGGGGGAUAACUGCUCGAAAGAGCAGCUAAUACCGCAUACGACCUGAGGGUGAAAGCGGGGGACCGUACGGCCUCGCGCGAUUGGAGCGGCCGAUGUCAGAUUAGCUAGUUGGUGGGGUAAAGGCCUACCAAGGCAACGAUCUGUAGUUGGUCUGAGAGGACGACCAGCCACACUGGGACUGAGACACGGCCCAGACUCCUACGGGAGGCAGCAGUGGGGAAUUUUGGACAAUGGGCGCAAGCCUGAUCCAGCAAUGCCGCGUGCAGGAAGAAGGCCUUCGGGUUGUAAACUGCUUUUGCCAGGGAAGAAAUCUUCUGGGCUAAUACCCCGAGAGGAUGACGGUACCUGAAGAAUAAGCACCGGCUAACUACGUGCCAGCCGCCGCGGUAA